UGAGGUAGUUGGUUGUAUUGUUUCCCUUGUGUAAUGUUAACUAUACAGCCCGCUAGCUUAAC
rnacentral:pre_miRNA from 1 species